rnacentral:rRNA from 1 species
CCUACGGGAGGCAGCAGUGAGGAAUAUUGGUCAAUGGCCGGAAGGCUGAACCAGCCAUGCCGCGUGAAGGUCAGUGCCCUAUGGGCGUUAAACUUCUUCUGUGCGGGAGCAAUAAUGGUCACGUGUGGCCAGACGAGAGUACCGUACGAAUAAGCAUCGGCUAACUCCGUGACAGCAGCCGCGGUAAUAUGGGGGAUGCAAGCGUUAUCCGGGUUUAUUGGGGUUAAAGGGGGCGUAGGCCGGGAGGUAAGUCAGCGGUGAAAUGCCCCCGGUCAACGGGGUGAAGUGCCAUUGAUACUGCCUUGCUGGAAUGCGGAUGCGGUGGGAGGAAUGUGUGGUGUAGCGGUGAAAUGCAUAGAUAUCACACAGAACACCGAUUGCGAAGGCAUCUCACGAAUCCGCGAUUGACGCUGAUGCACGAAAGCGUGGGUAUCAAACAGGAGUAGAUACCCCUGUAGUC